CACUAUCGUUAACUGAAUACAUAGGUUAACGAGGCGAACCGGGGGAACUGAAACAUCUAAGUACCCCGAGGAAAAGAAAUCAACCGAGAUUCCCCCAGUAGCGGCGAGCGAACGGGGAGCAGCCCAGAGUCUGAAUCAGCUUGUGUGUUAGUGGAACGGUCUGGAAAGUCCGACGGUACAGGGUGAUAGUCCCGUACACCAAAAUGCACAGGCUGUGAACUCGAAGAGUAGGGCGGGACACGUGGUAUCCUGUCUGAAUAUGGGGGGACCAUCCUCCAAGGCUAAAUACUCCUGACUGACCGAUAGUAAACCAGUACCGUGAGGGAAAGGCGAAAAGAACCCCGGCGAGGGGAGUGAAAAAGAACCUGAAACCGUGUACGUACAAGCAGUGGGAGCACCUUCGGGUGUGACUGCGUACCUUUUGUAUAAUGGGUCAGCGACUUAUAUUCUGUAGCAAGGUUAACCGUAUAGGGGAGCCGCAGGGAAACCGAGUCUUAACUGGGCGUUAAGUUGCAGGGUAUAGACCCGAAACCCGGUGAUCUAGCCAUGGGCAGGUUGAAGGUUGGGUAACACUAACUGGAGGACCGAACCGACUAAUGUUGAAAAAUUAGCGGAUGACUUGUGGCUGGGGGUGAAAGGCCAAUCAAACCGGGAGAUAGCUGGUUCUCCCCGAAAGCUAUUUAGGUAGCGCCUCGUGAAUUCAUCUUCGGGGGUAGAGCACUGUUUCGGCUAGGGGGUCAUCCCGACUUACCAACCCGAUGCAAACUACGAAUACCGAAGAAUGUUAUCACGGGAGACACACGGCGGGUGCUAACGUCCGUCGUGAAGAGGGAAACAACCCAGACCGCCAGCUAAGGUCCCAAAGUCAUGGUUAAGUGGGAAACGAUGUGGGAAGGCACAGACAGCCAGGAUGUUGGCUUAGAAGCAGCCAUCAUUUAAAGAAAGCGUAAUAGCUCACUGGUCGAGUCGGCCUGCGCGGAAGAUGUAACGGGGCUAAACCAUGCACCGAAGCUGCGGCAGCGACACUAUGUGUUGUUGGGUAGGGGAGCGUUCUGUAAGCCUGCGAAGGUGACCUGUGAGGGUUGCUGGAGGUAUCAGAAGUGCGAAUGCUGACAUAAGUAACGAUAAAGCGGGUGAAAAGCCCGCUCGCCGGAAGACCAAGGGUUCCUGUCCAACGUUAAUCGGGGCAGGGUGAGUCGACCCCUAAGGCGAGGCCGAAAGGCGUAGUCGAUGGGAAACAGGUUAAUAUUCCUGUACUUGGUGUUACUGCGAAGGGGGGACGGAGAAGGCUAUGUUAGCCGGGCGACGGUUGUCCCGGUUUAAGCAUGUAGGCUGGUUGUCCAGGCAAAUCCGGAUAAUCAAGGCUGAGGUGUGAUGACGAGGUACUACGGUGCUGAAGUAACAAAUGCCCUGCUUCCAGGAAAAGCCUCUAAGCAUCAGGUAACAUCAAAUCGUACCCCAAACCGACACAGGUGGUCAGGUAGAGAAUACCAAGGCGCUUGAGAGAACUCGGGUGAAGGAACUAGGCAAAAUGGUGCCGUAACUUCGGGAGAAGGCACGCUGGUGUGUAGGUGAAGUCCCUGCGGAUGGAGCUGAGACCAGUCGAAGAUACCAGCUGGCUGCAACUGUUUAUUAAAAACACAGCACUGUGCAAACACGAAAGUGGACGUAUACGGUGUGACGCCUGCCCGGUGCCGGAAGGUUAAUUGAUGGGGUUAUCCGUAAGGAGAAGCUCUUGAUCGAAGCCCCGGUAAACGGCGGCCGUAACUAUAACGGUCCUAAGGUAGCGAAAUUCCUUGUCGGGUAAGUUCCGACCUGCACGAAUGGCGUAAUGAUGGCCAGGCUGUCUCCACCCGAGACUCAGUGAAAUUGAACUCGCUGUGAAGAUGCAGUGUACCCGCGGCAAGACGGAAAGACCCCGUGAACCUUUACUAUAGCUUGACACUGAACAUUGAGCCUUGAUGUGUAGGAUAGGUGGGAGGCUUUGAAGCGUGGACGCCAGUCUGCGUGGAGCCAACCUUGAAAUACCACCCUUUAAUGUUUGAUGUUCUAACGUUGGCCCCUGACCGGGGUUGCGGACAGUGUCUGGUGGGUAGUUUGACUGGGGCGGUCUCCUCCCAAAGCGUAACGGAGGAGCACGAAGGUUAGCUAAUCCUGGUCGGACAUCAGGAGGUUAGUGCAAUGGCAUAAGCUAGCUUGACUGCGAGCGUGACGGCGCGAGCAGGUGCGAAAGCAGGUCAUAGUGAUCCGGUGGUUCUGAAUGGAAGGGCCAUCGCUCAACGGAUAAAAGGUACUCCGGGGAUAACAGGCUGAUACCGCCCAAGAGUUCAUAUCGACGGCGGUGUUUGGCACCUCGAUGUCGGCUCAUCACAUCCUGGGGCUGAAGUAGGUCCCAAGGGUAUGGCUGUUCGCCAUUUAAAGUGGUACGCGAGCUGGGUUUAGAACGUCGUGAGACAGUUCGGUCCCUAUCUGCCGUGGGCGCUGGAGAAUUGAGGGGGGCUGCUCCUAGUACGAGAGGACCGGAGUGGACGCAUCACUGGUGUUCGGGUUGUCAUGCCAAUGGCACUGCCCGGUAGCUAAAUGCGGAAGAGAUAAGUGCUGAAAGCAUCUAAGCACGAAACUUGCCCCGAGAUGAGUUCUCCCUGAGACUUUAAGUCUCCUGAAGGAACGUUGAAGACGACGACGUUGAUAGGCCGGGUGUGUAAGCGCAGCGAUGCGUUGAGCUAACCGGUACUAAUGAACCGUGAGGCUUAACCUU
rnacentral:rRNA from 1 species